rnacentral:tRNA from 4 species
GCCCCUGUGGCGGAAUGGCAGACGCGCUCGGCUCAAACCCGAGUGCCGCAAGGCGUGAGGGUUCGAGUCCCUCCGGGGGCA